rnacentral:lncRNA from 1 species
GGAAUCGGCUGAUAAGAGCUAUGGUGUUUCGGCCGAUUGGCUGAGGAACUCAAUGAAAAGUGGCCGAUUGAGGCCAGAACGGUUUGGCCGAUGUGGGCCUAAAAUGGGCCAGGGUGUUGAUUAACCGAAGAUGAAGAUUGGCCCGUGGGAAGAUAAUAAUGAACUCCGAUGCGGGUUGCGUUUAUGUGUAAAUAUUUGUUAUCUUUAAAUUAAAGAUAGAUCCUAGUCGGUGUGGAAACCAACUGUAACAGGGUAUAAAUAGGUGCCUCGUAAGGCUUGUAAAAACAACACAUCAAUCAACAAUACAAAUCUACUGUCGAUAUUAACUAGAAUUAUAGGUUUUACCUAUUGCUUUAGUUUUAUCACCAGUUAUCUAGUUUGAGAUACGAACUGUCAGCUUUUAUCAUUAUUUUUGUCUUUUAUCAUACAUCUGAUUAGAUCUGUUUCAAGUGUUGCUUUUGUAGCAUUGUGUAGGUUGCUCUAGUGGUUUCUUUUACAAUCGCUAUGUGAUCAUCGACUGUUUUAUAGCCGGUCAUCUCCACGGUACAAUCGGCCGAUUCGCUGAUAUACCCUUUGAACAGAUUGGAACUUUAGCCAAUCGAAACUUUGGAAUUUGACGCUUUCCUUGUCAAUCAAUAGGUCAGAUUGACUGGCAUGCCGCACGAACCGUACUAGGGCAACAACCCGAACAGGAGUUAAACAGAUUCUCCCAGGUCAUUUGUCCGACGCAGAAGGUGGGGUCUUCG